GAAGAAGACAUAAUCUGCACAAUAGAUUUCUAACUUAAUUGCAACUUCAGGGACAAAAAAUUGCGUUGUUAUUGGUGAACCACUUGACUUGCUUAUGAUGGAAUUGUUCAGUAAACAAUGAUACAUUU